AGAGUUUGAUCAUGGCUCAGGACGAACGCUGGCGGCGUGCUUAACACAUGCAAGUCAAGGGGGCGGGUUUCGGCCCGCAACCGGCGAACGGGUGCGUAACACGUGAGCGACCUGCCGAUCUGCGGGGGGAUAGCCGGCCCAACGGCCGGGUAAUACCGCAUACGCUUUUUCCUGGGGCAUCCUGGGGGAAGGAAACUUCCGGGGCGGAUCGAGGGGCUCGCGGCCUAUCAGCUAGUUGGUGAGGUAACGGCUCACCAAGGCGACGACGGGUAGCUGGUCUGAGAGGAUGGCCAGCCACAUUGGGACUGAGAGACGGCCCAGACUCCUACGGGAGGCAGCAGUGGGGAAUCUUGCGCAAUGGCCUAACGGCUGACGCAGCGACGCCGCGUGGAGGAUGACGGCCUUCGGGUUGUAAACUCCUGUUGCCCGGGACGAACAGCCAGUUUCGACUGGUCUGACGGUACCGGGUGAGGAAGCACCGGCUAACUCCGUGCCAGCAGCCGCGGUAAUACGGAGGGUGCGAGCGUUGUCCGGAAUCACUGGGCGUAAAGGGCGCGUAGGCGGUGGGGUAAGCGUGUGGUGAAAGUCCGGGGCUCAACCCCGGAUCGGCCGUGCGAACUGCCCCACUUGAGCACUGUAGAGGCAGGUGGAAUUCCGGGUGUAGCGGUGGAAUGCGUAGAGAUCCGGAAGAACACCGGUGGCGAAGGCGGCCUGCUGGGCAGUGGCUGACGCUGAGGCGCGACAGCGUGGGGAGCAAACAGGAUUAGAUACCCUAGUAGUCC
rnacentral:rRNA from 1 species